CGGAACGGGUGAGUAACGCGUGAGGAACCUGCCUCAAAGAGGGGGACAACAGUUGGAAACGACUGCUAAUACCGCAUAAGCCCACGGCUCGGCAUCGAGCAGAGGGAAAAGGAACAAUCCGCUUUGAGAUGGCCUCGCGUCCGAUUAGCUAGUUGGUGAGGUAACGGCCCACCAAGGCGACGAUGCGUAGCCGACCUGAGAGGGUGACCGGCCACACUGGGACUGAGACACGGCCCAG
rnacentral:rRNA from 1 species